rnacentral:lncRNA from 1 species
UGCUUCCCUUGGCCAAAAACACACUAAAUCACUUUCUAGUUUGAAGCAUUUAGCAAUUAACAACAAAGCAUAGCCACCAGAAACAUACACCUGAUUGCUAUGACAAAUACAGUAAUGCUGUGUUAGCUAGUAGAGCUAAUUUCUGUAUCACUGUGUGGACAUAACAGCAACAUAAAUUGGAAGAUAAUGGAACCUGCCCCCCUGUUGCUAGAAUCUCACUCUAAAUGAAUGGAGAGAUAAA